rnacentral:rRNA from 1 species
AGAGUUUGAUCAUGGCUCAGAUUGAACGCUGGCGGCAGGCCUAACACAUGCAAGUCGAGCGGUAGCACAGAGAGCUUGCUCUCGGGUGACGAGCGGCGGACGGGUGAGUAAUGUCUGGGAAACUGCCUGAUGGAGGGGGAUAACUACUGGAAACGGUAGCUAAUACCGCAUAACGUCGCAAGACCAAAGUGGGGGACCUUCGGGCCUCAUGCCAUCAGAUGUGCCCAGAUGGGAUUAGCUAGUAGGUGGGGUAACGGCUCACCUAGGCGACGAUCCCUAGCUGGUCUGAGAGGAUGACCAGCCACACUGGAACUGAGACACGGUCCAGACUCCUACGGGAGGCAGCAGUGGGGAAUAUUGCACAAUGGGCGCAAGCCUGAUGCAGCCAUGCCGCGUGUGUGAAGAAGGCCUUCGGGUUGUAAAGCACUUUCAGCGGGGAGGAAGGCGGUGAGGUUAAUAACCUCAGCGAUUGACGUUACCCGCAGAAGAAGCACCGGCUAACUCCGUGCCAGCAGCCGCGGUAAUACGGAGGGUGCAAGCGUUAAUCGGAAUUACUGGGCGUAAAGCGCACGCAGGCGGUCUGUCAAGUCGGAUGUGAAAUCCCCGGGCUCAACCUGGGAACUGCAUUCGAAACUGGCAGGCUAGAGUCUUGUAGAGGGGGGUAGAAUUCCAGGUGUAGCGGUGAAAUGCGUAGAGAUCUGGAGGAAUACCGGUGGCGAAGGCGGCCCCCUGGACAAAGACUGACGCUCAGGUGCGAAAGCGUGGGGAGCAAACAGGAUUAGAUACCCUGGUAGUCCACGCUGUAAACGAUGUCGAUUUGGAGGUUGUGCCCUUGAGGCGUGGCUUCCGGAGCUAACGCGUUAAAUCGACCGCCUGGGGAGUACGGCCGCAAGGUUAAAACUCAAAUGAAUUGACGGGGGCCCGCACAAGCGGUGGAGCAUGUGGUUUAAUUCGAUGCAACGCGAAGAACCUUACCUGGUCUUGACAUCCACAGAACUUAGCAGAGAUGCUUUGGUGCCUUCGGGAACUGUGAGACAGGUGCUGCAUGGCUGUCGUCAGCUCGUGUUGUGAAAUGUUGGGUUAAGUCCCGCAACGAGCGCAACCCUUAUCCUUUGUUGCCAGCGGUCCGGCCGGGAACUCAAAGGAGACUGCCAGUGAUAAACUGGAGGAAGGUGGGGAUGACGUCAAGUCAUCAUGGCCCUUACGACCAGGGCUACACACGUGCUACAAUGGCAUAUACAAAGAGAAGCGACCUCGCGAGAGCAAGCGGACCUCAUAAAGUAUGUCGUAGUCCGGAUUGGAGUCUGCAACUCGACUCCAUGAAGUCGGAAUCGCUAGUAAUCGUAGAUCAGAAUGCUACGGUGAAUACGUUCCCGGGCCUUGUACACACCGCCCGUCACACCAUGGGAGUGGGUUGCAAAAGAAGUAGGUAGCUUAACCUUCGGGAGGGCGCUUACCACUUUGUGAUUCAUGACUGGGGUGAAGUCGUAACAAGGUAACCGUAGGGGAACCUGCGGUUGGAUCACCU